GUAGAGAAGGGAACAGGGAGCAGGCCGGAGUCGAACCCUAGUUUCACGGACGGAAGGUGCCGCAAACCAGUGUGAUGCUGGAAAAGGUGUGGCUCCCACUGGACCCAAACUGAUGGAAGCAGCCUUUAAAAGCACCAUGUGGACCUCCAGCCUGUGAGAAGGGAGCUUUGCUGCAACCUGUCUCCCCUGCAAGGUGGUGCUCUUCCUCACAUGUUUUGUAGUUUGUGUUGCACUGUGUAAUUGUUGUAGUUUUGUGUUCAGGCCCACUCUGAGUAAUCUUUUGUUUGUAGUUAUGUUUAAGAGAAGCUAUGGGGGGAACUGUCAUUUUCUUUCACGUAUGUUUUAUUCUGUUUAUGUUAGUCUUGGGAGGUUAGUGUUUUGUCAGUGAUUUUCCUUCUUUUUUUUACAGGUUAGGUUUCAUAUUUCAGUUAGGUGGGGUUUUGUUUGUGAUUUUGGCCUUGGUUUAUCCUGAGGCCUUUUUCCUUCACCUUUUAGUUAUUGUUCUUCAGUAUUUAUUAUUGAUUAUGCUCCUCUAGGUCCCUCUAGAUAUAAAAAGUGGCAUAAUAACACCCCUUAAACACUUUCAAGAAGAAAUUACCCAAACUCUAUCUACCUUCUUGGGCUGCUUCAUCUCAUUAUCACCCUCACUGGAGAUCUAUUAGGAGACCUUUUAGAACUAUCACUAUUGAAAGUUGAACAGUCUAAGAAUAUAAUUAUUCUUGUUGUAGCAAUAACCAUUGCAAAAAAAUAAAUAAAUAAAAAUAAAUAAAUAAAAAACUAUCUUUAUGAACUGGAAAUCAAAAAAACACCACAAACUUGUCUAUAUUUAAAAACUUGUUUCUUGAAUACAUUUGUUUAGCCAAUUUAUUACCUUCUUCCACUGGUAUGACUGAACUACAAUCUGUCAUUUAGGAACGGCUUGUCUCUUAACUUUGUGCUUGUAAGGAUUGUAUGCGCGCCACCGCCCCUGCACUGUCCUUUGGUGCGGGCCGUGCCCUCCUGUCCUUUUUUAUUCCUAUGCCGGUUCCAGGUGGGCAGUGAGGGGGGGGGGACUGUCUCAGCCUCUCUGGUAUUGGGUGUGUUGACCUUGCUCUCCCGUUUCUCCCCCGACUCUCUCUACUGUACCCCAUUCAUGUCAUCUGAUUAGGGUCUGAAUAUGGCAUCUGAUGGUUGGGGGUAACUACUCGAUAUUUUUUGUAAUAAUGACAAGAUGAUUUUUAAUUCUAUUGUUGGUUUUAUGCUUGACUUUUCUAUUAUCCUAUACUUUCCUUUCUAUCUAUAUGAAUCUCUAUUAAUGUAUCCCUCGAUUUGUAUAGCUAUCAGAAUGCAUGAUUGUCGGUUCAAGAUUGUGUGUAUAUAAUCGAAUGGAAUUCUCUCUCUUGUUGUCUUAUUCUCACAUGCACAUGCAUACACACCCACACACACAGAAACUUUUCCUCUUUUCCCCCUUUUUUCUUGCGUUUGUGAUGGUUGUUAUCUUUGUUUAUCAGAUCUGUUUGUCCAGUGUAUUUUCUUUUGUUGUUGUUGUCUCACUUAAAUAAAAAUUUGGGGGGAAAUGAACAAAUAGUUUCUAAUAAAAAAUAUUUUGGAAUACAUACUCAGAAGACAGCAGACACAGUCUGGAAGUCCAAAAACAUAGGUUAGAUAGUGACUCUGAAUUGUUCCUUUGGUUAGUUCAAUAAAGUUCAUAGUGUCUGUAUUA